rnacentral:rRNA from 1 species
CAGCAGCCGCGGUAAUACGUAGGUGGCAAGCGUUGUCCGGAAUUAUUGGGCGUAAAGGGCUCGCAGGCGGUUUCUUAAGUCUGAUGUGAAAGCCCCCGGCUCAACCGGGGAGGGUCAUUGGAAACUGGGAAACUUGAGUGCAGAAGAGGAGAGUGGAAUUCCACGUGUAGCGGUGAAAUGCGUAGAGAUGUGGAGGAACACCAGUGGCGAAGGCGACUCUCUGGUCUGUAACUGACGCUGAGGAGCGAAAGCGUGGGGGGCGAACAGGAUUAGAUACCCCUGUAGUCCCUGUCUCUUAUAC